CAAUAAGACAAACGUUUGUGUCCAUUACAGCACAAACAGUGAUCACACACAUACAAGAAUUGUUUCGCUGUCUUUGUUCUACCAACUCUCGUACUCUGAAUGACUUGCCGCAGUCAAUGAACCAUUCAUGACCGGCGCGUGCAUACUUAUAAGUUUUGCCACCCUGUGCUUUGUUUUUCGAAGAAAGCAUUCCGGUGUUUUCGAAAUUCAAGGCACGGUUUACACAAAAUAGCAGGUUGAUUACCUUAUCUUUGAGCAAAUGCUUAGGAUAAUGUGAUAAUAAAUAUGCUAAAGGAAAAGUGGUGUAUAUCGGCAAGAUGAAAAAUAUUUUCAAUGUUUUUGUCAGAUAUUUAGAACCUGCCAAAUAUCCAUUUCUCGUUUCUGUCAAAUUUUCCCGAUGCACUAAUUUCGAAAUCUAGGGGAUUAAAAGGGGUAUCUUUCUUACAUUAGCUAUCAAAAAAACCUAAAUUGAGCUUUUCGGUAUUUUACUGAUAAAUUCGCGAAGAUGUAAAAACCAAAGACGUCCCGCUUGCUCACAAUGUAUAUCCCGCUUCUUAGGGAAUCUCCUGACCACCGGGAAAAACUGAAGAAAUGUGCAGCUUUCAAUUGCCGGUUUACGUUUCCGGGUUACCGUUCUGAUAAAAAAAAGACCCGUCGAAAAAGCCAACGGACCCCCGAAACAAUCAAGCUUAUUUUCUUUAGGGAUGAGUAAUGUUCCCCAGUAUGAGAAUAUUCUCUAAUGACUGAAGACUUGAGGUGUAAUUUCCCUCCCUUCAGUAACCAGGACAUCAGUGACUGAGGUGGUUUAAAAGCCCCAACAUGGAUUCUCUUGGACAUAAAUUUCAGUGUCGAAAUAAUCUGUAUGCAAAGAGGUCGAAUUAUUUACCAGUACAUUACAACAAGAAAGAAAAUUCACAGCAAACUACAUUUGGCAAAUAUGUUGACAACCAAUGUAAUACACAUUCUAUUGGUGCUGUUGGCUGGAUGUGGCAUCUUUGCUAUUCCUUUGGAUUUAGCAGGGCAAGAAAAGCAAAGAAAGAUAACUGCAGGCUUUUUGAAAGGCCUGCAAGAGCCAACACAAAAAAUACUUUGCAACAUAAAUUUAAUAUCAAAGGUGGGUUUUUAUCAACCAAUUUAGUAUGUUAACAAAUGCAUUAAAUAACUACACUCUUUUUUAUAAGAACAAUUUCAUAAGAUUAUGAACAAAAAAACUGGUCAAAAGUUAAGAACAAAUUAAGAACAAGCUGAGGUUGAGCAUAUUGAAAAUUUAAUUUUAAACAACAAUUCAUCUCAAAAACGAUUAUAUCUAUUCAUGUGUAGGUGCUUUUUUGGUGAAUUUAAAACUUAUUAGGCAAAUGAAGGUUAUCUCAUUCCUUUUGGUGGCAAAUGAGGCCUGAAUACCUCCUUGGAGGGAAAAGCUAGCAAUUGCACUGUUUACACCCUAUUAAUUUAAGAACAAAUUUCAAUUCAAGAACAUGGGGAACAAUUUAAGAACAAAACAAUCCAGCCUCAGAUUUUCGAAAGAAUUAAGAAAAGUCAGCCUGAACUGAAAUUUACUGGUUCUUAUAAAAAUAGAGUGUACAUUGGAUAAAUACAGCAUACUAUUAACUGGCUGUUAUGUCUGUUAAGCAUUUAUGGGAUAAGUUUUUCUCAACAAGUUGAUCAUCUUUCAUCUACCUAUAACUGGCAAAUUACACUGUUAUUGGCAUUGCGAAGUAAGUAAAUCCAGGCUGAAAAGUUGUCAUGUGAAUGCGGCGGCAGUCAAGAUUGCGUCACUUGAAGAGCCUAAUUAACUUGGAGAGCCUGCAUGCUUGCAGAAGAAAUGUAUUUUCUUCAAGUUCACAAUUAUCAGGCACUGAAAUGUAGGCAAAACUUCAGUUGGGUCGUGGACGAAACAGUAAAGGGCUCUUGAGAGCCAAAAGCAAACACACGCUACUACAUUAACUACCUAUCUGAGAAACCGUAUCAUACUUCAAACAAGAAUUCGAUAAGAUGAAAACAACAAUUAAAAAAAAUUUAAAUUAGGUUCCACCAGCGAUAGGUCUACCGAAAUAAAACCAAGAAUGAUUUGUCAUAAAAAGGAAAAACUCAUUCAAAAACAAACUUUUAUAAUGGUACAUCGUUUGUCAAUUUGUGUCAAUACAGACCAACAUCCUUCUUUACUGCCAACUUUGGGUUUUCCCGGUCGGGUGCUGCGUGACUGUACGAGCUCAUCUCAUUGCUUUCUCUUUUUGAAUUUCAGAACACAGAUGUUCUUAAAAUCGACGCGAAAAAGGAUCAUGAUUAUAUAAAAAUAUACAAAACAGAAUUUAAAGACAAAUGCAACAAACAGUUCUUGCAUGUGGUGGAAGACUCACGCUUCGUAAAUGCCAUGAAAAUCAUCCAAGGCCUCGUGGGACUAACACAGGACAUGCAGAUAGCUGAAAGCAGAUUAAAUGUCUUUGAUGAGACUCCUCUCGUUAGGGACUAUCGCCAAAUUGAGUACGAUUUGCGAGAUCUUGUUGAAAGUGAAAUGCGAAAAGUGGCAUUCGAAAUUUUGGACCAUCAAAACUACCGUAACAUCCCAGCGUAUUCUGUCGGUGGCCUUUACGACGCAGACAAAACGAAGGCAGACACGAAGGAUACUGCCCGCUCUCGCAACAGAGUAAAACUGGAUCAAAUCGAAGAGUGCCUCAAGCUUUUCAUCGUCAACGUGCUGAGCCAGAAGCUUGAACUCUGCACAAAGUAGAAGGUGUAAAAGACGUUUAAAAUCCAAGAAUGAGAAGUCUUGUUCUUGCGGUGUUAUUUUGUGCAUCCCUUUGAGGGAGGCAUAAGAUUAAAAGUAAGCCGAUUAAUGGCUAUAGUUGCGUUAAAAACUUUCGUUCUAAAUUAAUUUUUGUUUAAAUUUGAUUCGUAUUUAUAUUAGAAAAGUAUUUAUAUUGCAAAAUGUAAUGAUAAUAAAUUAAAACUUUUUUUGAAAAUAGAUUUAUUUAUUCAACUUAUGACAAAAUGUAAUGUAUACUUAAUAUUAUGUAACUUGCGAAAAUUUAUAUUAAAGUAUGGUAAACUAUUUAUUUGAAAAGUUUUAUUACAAGUUUUUAAACCAGUGUAAUUCAUCUUAAAGAAAUAUUUAUUAUUAUUGUUAAGUUUCAUCGAGAGAAAAAUAAGAAACGAAACGAGCAUUAUUGGCCGAUUUCUACACACCUUCGUUGUUCUGUUACCUGCAAGAUACCGUUGUCUGAA